GCGUUCUCUCCAAGGACUCUGGCUAACGAACCCUCCGUGGCCAAUGGCGGGUGCCCCACCGCGAGGACAACGCCGGCGACAAGGCCGCUUCAGCUCGAGUGCAGAGGCGCGGGCGCGAGGGCGACCUGGGGUCGUGCGGAGUCACCUUCUCCGCGGGCGGCUGUGACGUCGCGGUGGUUUAGUAAGAACUCCCGGUAGAGGAACUUCCCGAGGUUAAGAGACCCAAAGGGGAAGAGAAGAGCCACGCAAAGGCAGCGGGUGGGGCUCGAGCCCCCUGCCUCGGCUGCGACUCCCAGAUUCCACCGGCUGAGCCAGAGGGAAGCUAGAGGCUUUGGGCUGGCGAUCUGCUAAAACGACAAAAUAAGCAACAACAACAACAAAGGGGCCCCACCAGGUAACAUGCAGCCCCAGGGACAGUGGGAGAGGAGGACCGGGGCGGAGACCCCCCGCGGCCCCCGCACAGGACGCUCUGCCUUUCCGGGUAGGUGCUGGUCUGUUGCGGGGCACUGGACAUUCAUGGUGCCCGCCCUCCCUCGUUGGGCCUCACAGACACCUUGUUUCCUGUACCAGCCGUCCCCGUGUUGCAGGGGUAUCCCUGGAUUAAAGGCCUGAUCCUGGUUUGAACCUGGGAUCUCUGGCUCCCCCAGCGAGUUGCAUACCACCUAGGCCGAUGGAUAACCCUAAAUCCCUAAAUAAAACUUAGUGUCGCAUGUCUUCGAGCUCCUGCACAGCUGGGUCCCAAGGACGCCUGGGAGUGGGCGAGAUGAUGAACUGGAGAGCAGAUCGAGAAUCGAAGUCGGGGGAUAGGAAAAGGCCAGAAUGAGGUCACAGAGCCGAGCAAAAUUUUGCCGGAACCACCAAAAAUGAGGAAAAGACUGGUUCUAGAACAGAAAAUCGUUUAACUUGUCAGCCCCGGUGGCCUAAUGGAUAAGGCAUUGGCCUCCUAAGCCAGGGAUUGUGGGUUCGAGUCCCACCCGGGGUACAAAAGUUGCCUUUUUAGGCCUCUCUCCAAGACAAGUAGCAAAGAAAGUGUAGAUAAUUGUCUCUGCGUAUAUAGCCACUGUCUGCCCCGGGGCAAAGACCGGGGGUUUUGGACCCUUCGACACAAGGGAUGUUUUCAUAGAAGUAUUUUCAGUUUUGAGAGAGGAAUGCUUGUGUCCUUUACACUAUUUCAAGAACCAUCCAUUCUACUUGAUAAAAAAAAAAAAUGUUCAGU
rnacentral:tRNA from 1 species